rnacentral:ncRNA from 1 species
GGAUUGACGUUUGUAAUCAGCGUCAUGAACCAUGAAUCCCUUGUAAAUGUGUGUCAACAACGCACGUUGAAUACGUCCCUGCCCUUUGUGCACACCGCCCGUCGCUCCUACCGAUUGGAUGACUCGGUGAAAUCACCAGAUGCUUACGAGCAGAAAGUGAUUAAAUCACGUUAUCUACAGGAAGGAGAAGUCGUAACAAGGUAACGGUAGGUGAACCUGCCGUUGGAUCAGUU